GACGAACGCUGGCGGCGUGCUUAACACAUGCAAGUCGAACGAAGUGGCGAACGGGUGAGUAAUGCGUAAUUAACCUGCCCUUCAGAGGGGGACAACAGUUGGAAACGACUGCUAAUACCACAUACUGAAGGAGGGGAUGGCGUCUGAUUAGCUAGUUGGAGGGGUAACGGCCCACCAAGGCGAAGAUCAGUAGCCGGUCGGAGAGGAUUAACGGACACAAUGGGACUGGGACCAGGCCCAGACUCCUACGGGAGGCAAGAGUGGGGAAUCUUCCGCAAUGGACGAAAGUCUGACGGAGCAACGCCGCGUGAGUGAUGACGGCCUUCGGGUUGUAAAGCUCUGUUAAUCGGGACGCGGUACCGGAAUAGAAAGCCACGGCUAACUACGUGCCAGCAGCCGCGGUAAUUC
rnacentral:rRNA from 1 species